rfam:Nomascus leucogenys chromosome 18, whole genome shotgun sequence.
AUUUUUUCCCAGAGUUAAAAGAAUUUCACGUAUUAAUAGAGAAGAUUAGCAUGGCCCCUGCGCAAGGAAGCUCCAAUGUGGUGGAAUUCGUAUUCCAUAUUU